rnacentral:rRNA from 1 species
GGCGUGCGAUACAGGGUGACAGCCCCGUACACAAAAAUGCACAUACUGUGAGCUCGAUGAGUAGGGCGGGACACGUGGUAUCCUGUCUGAAUAUGGGGGGACCAUCCUCCAAGGCUAAAUACUCCUGACUGACCGAUAGUGAACCAGUACCGUGAGGGAAAGGCGAAAAGAACCCCGGCGAGGGGAGUGAAAAAGAACCUGAAACCGUGUACGUACAAGCAGUGGGAGCACGCUUAGGCGUGUGACUGCGUACCUUUUGUAUAAUGGGUCAGCGACUUAUAUUCUGUAGCAAGGUUAACCGAAUAGGGGAGCCGAAGGGAAACCGAGUCUUAACUGGGCGUUAAGUUGCAGGGUAUAGACCCGAAACCCGGUGAUCUAGCCAUGGGCAGGUUGAAGGUUGGGUAACACUAACUGGAGGACCGAACCGACUAAUGUUGAAAAAUUAGCGGAUGACUUGUGGCUGGGGGUGAAAGGCCAAUCAAACCGGGAGAUAGCUGGUUCUCCCCGAAAGCUAUUUAGGUAGCGCCUCGUGAAUUCAUCUCCGGGGGUAGAGCACUGUUUCGGCAAGGGGGUCAUCCCGACUUACCAACCCGAUGCAAACUGCGAAUACCGGAGAAUGUUAUCACGGGAGACACACGGCGGGUGCUAACGUCCGUCGUGAAGAGGGAAACAACCCAGACCGCCAGCUAAGGUCCCAAAGUCAUGGUUAAG